rnacentral:rRNA from 1 species
UACAGAGGGUGCGAGCGUUGUCCGGAAUCACUGGGCGUAAAGGGCGCGUAGGCGGCCAUGCGUGUCUUCCGUGAAAUCCCUCGGCUUAACUGAGGACGUGCGGAAGAAACUGCAAGGCUCGAGUCCGGGAGAGGGGGGUGGAAUUCCCAGUGUAGCGGUGAAAUGCGUAGAUAUUGGGAGGAACACCGGUGGCGAAGGCGGCCCCCUGGACCGGUACUGACGCUGAGGCGCGAAAGCGUGGGUAGCAAACGGG